rnacentral:rRNA from 1 species
UACGGAGGGUGCGAGCGUUAAUCGGAAUUACUGGGCGUAAAGCGCGCGUAGGCGGUUAAUUAAGUCGGAUGUGAAAGCCCCGGGCUCAACCUGGGAACUGCAUUCGAUACUGGUUAACUAGAGUACGAGAGAGGGAGGUAGAAUUCAUAGUGUAGCGGUGGAAUGCGUAGAUAUUAUGAAGAAUACCAGUGGCGAAGGCGACUCCCUGGAUUGAUACUGACACUGAGGUGCGAAAGCGUGGGUAGCAAACAGG